GGGGGGGGGGGGGGGGGGGCGGGAGGGGGGGGGGUCGGGCGGAGGGGGGGGGCUUGCUCCGGGGUUCAGCGGCGGACUGGUGGGUAAUGCCUAGGAAUCUGCCUGGUAGUGGGGGAUGACGUCCGGAGACUGGCGCUGAUACCGCAUACGUCCUAGGGAGAAAGUGGGGGAUCUUCGGACCUCACGCUAUCAGAUGAGCCUAGGUCGGAUUAGCUAGUUGGUGGGUGAAAGGCCUACCAAGGCGACGAUCCGUAACUGGUCUGAGAGGAUGAUCAGUCACACUGGAAGUGAGACACGGUCCAGACUCCUACGGGAGGCAGCAGUGGGGAAUAUUGGACAAUGGGCGAAAGCCUGAUCCAGCCAUGCCGCGUGUGUGAAGAAGGUCUUCGGAUUGUAAAGCACUUUAAGUUGGGAGGAAGGGCAGUAAGUUAAUACCUUGCUGUUUUGACGUUACCAACAGAAUAAGCACCGGCUAACUUCGUG
rnacentral:rRNA from 1 species